UCCGUAGGCGGUGCGGUCAAGUCGGAAGUGAAAUCUCAGGGCUUAACCCUGAGGCUGCUUCCGAAACUGCCGUGCUCGAGUGCGAGAGAGGCGAGUGGAAUUGCAGGUGUAGCGGUGAAAUGCGUAGAUAUCUGCAGGAACAUCCGAGGCGAAAGCGGCUCGCUGGAUCGCAACUGACGCUGAGGGACGAAAGCUAGGGGAGCAAACAGGAUUAGAUACCCUGGUAGUCCUAGCCCUAAACGAUCAGGACUGGGCGUGGGCCUCGUACGGGGCUCGUGCCGCAGCUAACGCGUUAAGUCCUGCGCCUGGGGAGUACGGUCGCAAGGCUGAA
rnacentral:rRNA from 1 species